UGGCGGCAGGCCUACACAUGCANGUCGAGCGAGACCUUCGGGUCUAGCGGCGGACGGUUGANUAACGCGUGGGAACGUACCCUNUUCUGCAGGAUAGCCACUGGAAACGGUGAGUAAUACUGCAUACGCCCUUCGGGGGAAAGAUUUAUCGGAGAAGGAUCGGCCCGCGUUAGAUUAGGUAGUUGGUGGGGUAAUGGCCUACCAAGCCUACGAUCUAUAGCUGGUUUGAGAGGAUGAUCAGCCACACUGGGACUGAGACACGGCCCAGACUCCUACGGGAGGCAGCAGUGGGGAAUCUUAGACAAUGGGGGCAACCCUGAUCUAGCCAUGCCGCGUGAGUGAUGAAGGCCUUAGGGUCGUAAAGCUCUUUCGCUGGGGAAGAUAAUGACGGUCCCAGUAAAGAAACCCGGCUACUCCGUGCCAGCAGCCCGCGGUAAUCNGAGGGGGUUAGCGNUGUCGGAAUACUGGCGUAAACGCGCGUGGCNGAUAAAAAG
rnacentral:rRNA from 1 species